ACUGUUAUGGUUACCUCUUAGCGAAGUAACCGAACUUUUCAAACGCAAUCGCUAAGUUGAACAUUUAGUGUUCUCGGACUAAAAAUUAUGGAAAACUAGACUAAUGUGUACAAAACUUUAAAGGUUAUUAGUAUUAGUUAUUAGAAGCUUAAAGAGUUAAAGUAAUACCAAAGAAGUCUCACGAACUCUUGAAUGGUAUCUGAACCUGAAGGGUAACAUCUUGUUCAGCGACUUUUGCAACCUAGACCGCUAGAUGCAAGUUUUACGCUUGGUCCAACACCAUCAUCCUAGUCACUCAUAAUCCCAAUUAAUAGAGGAAUAUUAUUAACAAAACCAGCUACAGGACUACGACUCACUUGGGAUUUAAUAUGAUAUAUGAAUGCCGAUAAUAACCAUUCACCACAGGGGGCAGAACAUGCUUCUCUGACUUCCACUGGAACACUGGAUAAUGAUCUCCAAAGGAAUGACAACAAACGAUGUAAUUCCCCCACAGUUUUUCAGUGGAUAUCAGAGUAUCUCAUCUUCAGUCCCUCUCACAUUAACAAGAAAAUCUGGCGAGAAUCUUCUGAGGACAGCGUUUUUGGUCCACAGCUGACGAGCCUCCUUGGCAUGUUCUUGGGAAUUAUUUGGUCAAUAUCAGACUUGUAAGAAAGUUUUUAAAGUUCUUGAUUAUUAGAGAGAACUUAGUUUUCCACACUGGAUGAUGAUGAUGAUGAUGAUUAAUGUACUAGUUUGUCUAUUUUGUUUUAGGGUAAAUUCAGUGACUUUUUACAAACAAUAGUCUUUCAGUGCAGCUACAUAAAGUGGUGAUUAUCUACAAUUAGGAAAAUGGCUAAAAACAAUUAAGAAUAUCCAAGCAGGCUCAUAAACUGUGGCCCUAUAUGUAAUGCGAAGUGAAAAAUUAAAACAUAUCUUGAGUGGCUCUGGCUCUGGGGGCAGUGGUGUGUGGUACGUCAGGCAGUGUAGAUAUUUAUGUGGAUAAGGGCAGGACCUACUAAAACUGGACAUGACAUGGAGAGCCAGAAGAUUAAGAGAAAGCAUGACUAUGGUCACAAUAAAGCAUCAAUAUGUAACAUGCAACAGGAUAAUGUAUUUAUAUAUAUAUAUAUUAUAUACCCUUUGUAAAAUGAAUAACAAUGACUUUUUGCACAGUGUUUCAUCAGUUAUAUAUAUAAUGUCUCUUGCUCUCUCUAUACAUAUAUAUGUUGUCUUUGAUAAUGUAUUUAAACUUGAUUUGUAUAUAUAUAUAUACGUAUGCUGUAUAUAGAAAAGUUGCAUUCAUAAUGCAAUACAAUUUCUUAAUUACACAGGUAGAAGUAAGGUUAGUAUUAUGUUGCAAGUACAAGCCAGAUGAAGUUUGUGGUGUCUUGUGUGUGUGUGUAAAUUGCACUCUGGUUAUGCAGGUGAUGAAAUGUCAAGUCUGUGUUUUGAGGAUAGACUAGAAAUAUAUUUAAUAUUCUAUGUGUAUAUGUAUCAGAAGUAUAUUGUAUACAGUAUAUACACAGUGAUAAGUAAUGAUCU